CCAGGCCCACGACGAAGAUGACGCUGUAGGACACGGGCAGGUAAUAGCGUUUCAUCAGGCGAUCCACGUCGGUGCAGUUGUGAUAUUCUCCGUGGUAGAGGAUGCUAGCCAUGGCUGAGCCCUGCUGAGUGUGAAAAUGCUCCGUUUUGGUCUCCACCAACCACCAACUAUUGCUGGAACCCUAACCUGCCAAAUCACCUACAACCAAAAAUUAAAGCUGCUGCCAUGAAAACAAAACAAUGAGCAGUAAAGUGUGUUGAGCCGAGGGUAACUCCUGGGUCAACCGGUUGUUCAAGCUUAUCAGUGUGAGUCACUCUUUUUACAUAACAAUUAUCGAUUCAUUCGGCUUCAUCGGAUCCAAAUCUGCUUAACAAUUGGAUGCUUUGAGCCAGAGGAAAAAGUCUGUUCCUGCAAAUUCCU